UACGAAAGGUGCGAGCGUUAAUCGGAAUUACUGGGCGUAAAGCGCGCGUAGGCGGCUACUUAAGUCGGAUGUGAAAUCCCCGGGCUCAACCUGGGAACUGCAUCCGAUACUGGGUAGCUAGAGUGCAGUAGAGGGAGGUGGAAUUUCAGGUGUAGCGGUGAAAUGCGUAGAGAUCUGAAGGAACACCAGUGGCGAAGGCGGCCUCCUGGACUGACACUGACGCUGAGGUGCGAAAGCGUGGGGAUCAAACAGG
rnacentral:rRNA from 1 species